GUCUUUAGUUGCCAUCAUUAAGUUGGGCACUCUAGAGAGACUGCCAGGGAUAACCUGGAGGAAGGUGGGGAUGACGUCAAUUCAUCAUGCCCCUUAUGCUUAGGGCUACACACGUGCUACAAUGGGUAGUACAGAGGGUUGCCAAGCCGUAAGGUGGAGCUAAUCCCUUAAAGCUACUCUCAGUUCGGAUUGUAGGCUGAAACUCGCCUACAUGAAGCUGGAGUUACUAGUAAUCGCAGAUCAGAAUGCUGCGGU
rnacentral:rRNA from 1 species